GUGGUUUGUUCCUUAAAAACAAAAAAAAGGAAAAGCCCUAUUCGCCUGAUCUACAGAGAGGCUCUUUUCUUCUUCGCCACUGCCUUUCUCUUAGAUCUUUCCUUCGUCGUCUGUCUUCCUCAAUUUCUUUAUACAUAUUUGGUCUCAUCGUUCAGAGAUCUUUGUUUCGAUUAUGAUUUCUAGGUGUUAUUCAUCGUAUGCAGAUUCGAUGUUGGACACAGAUCUCUGGUUUGUAUGCGUUGCUGUAUCAUCGUCAUCCUUUCGUUUUCGAUACGGAUCUGCAGGGCUGUGGUUGGGACGAGGAUGAUUUGUGAUUCAAUCUCACGGGGAUGUAUGGAGUUUAUGUGUGACGCGGCUGCUCCAUGGGGUCUGGAUUGCAGUGUUCGUGGUUUGUUUCUUCCUUGGUGCUCGGGUCGGGUUGUGGUGUUUGGUUCGCGGCGGCUUAGGACGUCUCUCCAUAUGUGAUCGCUAGCUAUAGGGGGUUUGGUGGAGUGAUUUAUGUUGCUGUUUUUGUGUUCAAUCAUAUUGUUACAGAUAGAUAACCACGAAGGUAGAGUGACCGAGUGAACGAGGAAAUUGAGAGCUUCUAUAUGCAGAGGUAUAUAUGUUGUUUCAUGUAAUGUUUGUUGUCGCCGACCUUUGCCAUGUCAGGUGCGCUUGCAUGGCAGGUCAAAAAAACCCUAAUAAAAGAAAAUAUUUUGUUGGGUUUUGGGGGGAGAUGGUACGGGGUUUCUUUUUUUUUUGGGGCCCGGCUCUCCCCCCUUGUGUGUGUGUGUGUGUUCUCUCUCUCUCUCUCUCUCUCUCUCUAUCCUUUUCGGACUUCUUAACGCUACUCGGAUCUGAAUUUGCAAAACGCUACUCGGAUGACCACGAUAAAGGUAAAUAUUUACUUGCUUAAUUUGGUUAGUCAGCAAUCAACUGGUGAUUGAUCUUCAACUGAAAGGUACUUGCACUUCUAUUCAAUUUUAUGACAACUUAUUUCAUUGCACAAUUUUAUAGUGAAGAAUAUCAACUAAUUUUUUAAUGCCUGAGGAAUAAAGGCUAAUUGCCAUGUUAAUUUAUAAUUGUUAAGUCUUAAUACGACUUAUAUUAUACAAAGUUAUUGUUAUGAAAGAAAUCAUUUCCUAUAUCUCUGCAUGGAUUUUAUUGAUCUCCUUAAAAUAUUGAGUGAAGUCCUAAAGGACCAUGAAAUAAGUAUAUUGUCCUAGUAUUUGACAUUGGAAGACUAUGAAUAAAGAGUUGAGACAUUUCUAGGACUUAAAUCAGAAGUUUCUACAUGGUAUUAUCCAAAUGGCAAUACCGCCUACACAUGCUUAUCCUUCAUAUGGGACAAUUUUUUCAGUUCAAAGGUUCUCAAUUAUAGGGCUUUUAAUUCUCAUAGUAGUAAUAUUCUUUUGAAGCUGCAAAUAACUAAAGCAACUCCAAUGGCUUAUAUUGCUCUAUUCUUAUUUCUGUGCAUAUGGUAAAUUUUUGUGGGUUCAUAGUAUGGGAUUCCCAUUAGUUAUUGCCAAUUUUUGUGAGCUUGGAGAUGGUGCAAUUUUUCUUGGAUCAUCUCAUGGUCGCAGUAUGCCUUGUAUGUAAAUGUAUCAAGUUUUGUAGUUUCAAUUAUGAUGGAAGAUUUUUAAGUUCCAUUGAUGAUGGGAUGGUGGGUUCUGUGGGUUUUAGUCUUUAUGGAAUGUACAUUUGUAUGGUUUAUCCCAAGCAACAGUGAUCUGAAGCGUCAAGAUUCUAUGCCCUGAGAAAGUGCUGCAGUGAAAUUAGUCUUUACAUUUAGAAGUAUUUUCUGAAGUCUGCUCCUGCCUGCUUGAGAUAGAAGGGAAUGCAGCUCACUUUUUUUUGAGAAGAGGAUAAAAUAGAAGCCAAGUUUUUGACACUGCAGUGACAUAAGACUUCUUGCUUGAAGGGGUACAAUUGCUUUUGGUGAAUUCAUAUAGUUUCCUUAUGUUGUCAGCUGCUGGUUUAUGUGCAUAUUGUUCUAUGAUGUAACCUUUUUCUUGUGGACACAGUUUAAAGAUACAACCACGAUUGCUUCUCUCAGCUGAAGUUCAAAUUGGAUGUUGUGCUGAUAGUUUGGGAUAAUAUAACUUGCUUUCUUAACAACUUGGUACAUGGGAGUCUAAUUGCAACUCUUAACAUUUUAUCUUGAUUGAGAGCAUUUUCACUGUCAAUGCUCUACUCGUGCCUUCUUUUAUUCACUCUGGAAGAAUGUCAGUUGCAGUGCACAGACGAAUGAAUAUAUGCUUUGUUUAAAUCCUCCUGAUAGAACAUUUGUUAUUUUAGUCGACAGAAACAAAGAGUAGUUUUCAGUUUGUUGGUUGAAUUAUGUUUAUGUGAUCGUUGUUCUUUUUUGUGUCA